CCAAGGCUCUAGAAACUGCCUGGCUCACUGUUUUUCUCUUCCUCUUCUCUUUCCAGCUCCCUCUCACUGUGCCUUUGCUGGCUACAUUAACAUCCAAAGAGAUGUCCUCUAAAGGAAAGAAACCAGAAGGGGGAGACUGGGAGCAACCAAGAAACAACCAAAAGAACCUGGCCUUUGAUGGGAUAACGUGAUCGACAACGAUGACGGAUGUUAUUCCAAGGGGGCUGAGUCAAGAGAAAAUGAAGAUUAAAGCUAUAAAGGAAACCAACAUGGGAAGAUCCGGGCUUAGUUUUAAAGCAAAGCCAGUGAGACAUCACCAUGGAGAGAAAUUGAUAACAGCCUCGAGACAGGGUAUCCCAAUAUGCUAGUCACUAGCAACUUAUGGAUGUUGAGACUUGAGAUGUGGCCAGUCUGAGAUGACAUUAUGUUGUAUAUGGAAGAUACACAUCAAAUUUCAAAGACUUAGGACAAAAACAAGGCAAAAGAAAAUCUCAUGAAUAGUUUUUAUGUUGAUUACAUUUUGAAAUGUUAUAUUUUGGAUAUAUUGAGUUAAAUAAAAUAUAGUAUUCAAGCCAAUUGCUCUUGGUUUUUUAAAUUUUUUUUUAAUGUGGCUGCUAGGUAAUUUUAAAUGAUAUAUGUAGCUCGCAUUAUAUUUCUGUUGACAAUACUUGCCUGGAGAAGUCAACCCAACAGCUCUGCUAACCCCACUGCCUCCGGCUCCCCCUCGUUUUUAUUUGAGCCAUAUCAGUUUGUUCUCUUUUUAAUUUUUUCAUUCCUUCUCAAAUUCUAAAGAUAAGAAAUAAUUUUGAAAGGCAACUCAUUCCAAUUUAGUUUGGGCAAGUUUUGAUGAUAAAAAUUUAGAAGAAGGAGAAGGAAAGAAUAUAAAAACCCAAGGUCCCCUGGUUUAUUAAGAAGGUAAAAA